UCCGAGUUGACCCCGGCAGUCUCCCAUGAGUCCCCGGCAUUACCCGCUGGCAACAUGGGACGAGGGUUGCGCUCGUUGCGGGACUUAACCCAACACCUCACGGCACGAGCUGACGACAGCCAUGCAGCACCUGAACCGGCGGUCCCCGAAGGGAAAAUCCUAUUUCUAGGACUGUCCGCCGUUGUCUAGCCCAGGUAAGGUUCUCCGCGUUGCGUCGAAUUGAACCACAUGCUCCACCGCUUGUGCGGGCCCCCGUCAAUUCCUUAGAGUUUCAACCUUGCGGCCGUACUCCCCAGGCGGCACAUUUAAUGCGUUAGCGUCGACACGGAGGGGGUCGAUACCCCCCACGUCUAAUGUGCAUCGUUUACGGCUAGGACUAC
rnacentral:misc_RNA from 1 species